CAAGAAAAAGGUUGUUAUUAUAGUUAUAGAAAGUUUCGCUGUUUGGUCAAAACCAUACACAACCAUACACACAGAUUACAUUAUUCCACAGGUUCAACAGGAGCAGAAAGAAGCCCCUGAUUCUGAUCAGGCUGGGCCGUCCACCAGUGACACAAGUGAUAAAGGAAAGCGAAAGUUGGGCUUUCAAGGAGAAACACCAGCAAAAAGGCGACUACGUGACACUAUAGGAUCAUACACAGGUAUUUUUGUCACUUUACAACAUGUGAAAUUACAGCCUAUGAAAGCAUUAUGAUUCAUAUGAAAUGACAUUCUGCUGAUUUCUUUUCUUAUAUUUUCAUCAAAUAAAAGAUUUUCC
rnacentral:lncRNA from 1 species